AUGGAAGACAACUGCUUCUGCAUUCCAUCUGUGGUGAUGUCACAUCGUGUGGAGAACUCCCAGGAGACAAAGGGGGAGGGCUUCCCAGCAUCUUACAAACAGCACAGAGUUUAUGCCUGAACCAGCAGCCAGUGGGUUAACGGGCCUGGCCCCACCUACCCACUGUCAGCAAGGACAACAUCCAAAAGAAACCCACUUGCAACAGCAGCCGGCCUCUGACAGACCCGAACCUACCUCAGGAGGACUGGUCUGAAGCUACCCAGCUACAAGGCUCCCAUAAGGCUCAGAUGAAAUAAGACCAAAUAUGGUACAAGAACGAAUAAUCAAGGAACAAAACUCUUGCUAAUGCAGGAUGUUGGGUUUCAACAUGGAACUAAAGAAUACGCCUACACAAGAGCAGGUUUCCAUUCCUCUAACCGGGAUCUUUGCCCCAUUUCAGUAGGAAGUAAGAAGACGGGUCAUCUUCCCAAUUCCCUCAAGAGUGAAGAAUGAUCAAAAGACAGUGGGGAUUGAAACCCAGAACAGAAGGGUUAGCGGGACUACUGAGAGAGCAGUGACCUCUAACCCCACCCCCACCCC